UUGGAGACAGGUUCAGGGGGUUAGCCCUGGAUGAGCUGCCACUGCCCAUUGCUCCCCUAGUUGCAAGUCUCACGGGGUCUCUUAGAGUUGACAAAAUGUGU